AAGCAAGUGAUGAUAUAGUUUAAUAGUAAACAUGGAGAGAUGUAUUUUACUGAUUCUUUUAACAACAGCAGGUGUAUUUGCUGAUAGCAUUAAACCAGACAAGGAUACAAAUAUAAUUAAGACUGAAGGAGAAUCUGUGACAAUGAGCUGCACAUAUGAAGCAAGCAGCAGUUAUAUUCUGCUUUACUGGUACAGACAGCUUUCUAACAGAGAACCUCAGUUUAUACUGCGGAAAGGUGCUCGAACAUAUUCAAGCAGUGGUUAUGAUGAUAUACCAGACCGUCGGUUCAAGUCAAGUACAACAGAUAGAUCCACUGAACUCAUUAUUGACAGUGUAACUCUGUCAGAUUCAGCUUCAUAUUACUGUGCACUGAGAGUUGAAGCCCAGUGA